rnacentral:lncRNA from 1 species
UGUGUUUGUCUAUUUCAGAGCUCCUUUGGUUAAAAUUGUAUACCUAACUUUUGUUUUUUAUAGACUUACUCCAAAGAAAGAGGCAUUGGAUGAAGAGAAUAUUGGACAAGGACCCAAUAUGCAUGUGGAAACUGUGUGUAUUGGCUUGAUGUUGUUGAGAAGUACCUUCUUGGUGGCAUUCCAUUCCAGCAGGAGCAUCCUGAUGGUUUAAUUCAUCUUUUAUUGUCAUUCUUGACAGUAUUCAUCAUGAAACGGAGGCAUAUUGCUGCAGCUCAGGAUACACCCAGUGUCCCAUGAGGAUGGAAGAAAAGUAUUGAAAGCAGAAUGGGACCAGCUUAACCCAAGAGAAACUGAAAGUAGGAGAAUUUUUGUGAGUAUUUUAUGGACUACUUUUCAUUCAGUUUGUCUUUUGUUUAUUAAUUUUAAGUCAGCUACCAUUUCCUACCUAUUUUUUGAUAAAAGUAUGUUGUUUUAUCCACAUUUCAGCUCAAACAAGCUUUUAUGGAAUAGCUGGGAAUUUAACCAGGAUGGUAAUAUUACUAGGGGAAAAUAUUACUAGGGGAAAAAUUCUAACCAAAAAAAAAAAAAAAUCCCAAAUUGACAUUUGAAACACAACCGAUCGGUAAAUCAAGAUUUCUUGCUAAUCUGUAUGAGCGAAUAUAAAUGGAUGAAAUAAUUCUUAGGUAAAUUCAGCUUGAUUUUGCUCUGCAAGAUCAUUCUCAGAAAGAAUUCUCUGUUUAUUGCAUUGGAGUCCCAGAUAUCUUGAUAAUAGAAAGAAUUUCAGCUGGUGGACAUGAUGGUAACAUUAGUCACAGAAGUUAAAUCAUCUGUUACAAAUCAAUCUAUUGGCCUUCUGGUGUAUGAAUUAGUCUUUUGUUAGAAAAGGGCACAUUAAUGCUAAAAUUGAGUCCGUGUAAAUAUACGCACGGUAACAGAACUGAUCCAACUGUAACUAUAUUGCUUUAACUAUAUAUUGACUCUGUCCUUGGUGCUGGCCAGUUAAUAUUUAUUGGCUCCUUUGUUUGUUGUUUAUAUCUUGGAUAAAGUUACACCCAAAAAAUUUCCAGAUGACACUAUUGACAAAAUAAAAACUAAAAAAUACCUACACAUACUAAGAUGAACCAAAAGCACACCAAUAAGAAAUUAACUAAGGAUAAGUGUCAGAUAUAAUUGCACAAAUACAGGAAGAUGUGACUUAGUAGCAGCAGGCAUAAUAAUAUGUAUUUUGUUAAAUCAGAGGGGCUUUGAGGGACAGUAAGCUUAGUGUGGGUUAAAAGUGCUCAAAAAAACUAAUAUGAAUUCAGCCUAUUUUCAAAUGUAAUUAAUAUUCAGUACAUUCUUAUUUUGCGUUAUGUUUGGUUCUUCCAUAUCAUUAAAGGUUUAUAAUGAGAGAGAGGAUCAAUCAGUUUUAUUCUGUGAAGGUUGGACGCCAUCUGGAAAACAGUGCAGUGUUUAGAACAAAAGAGAACAGUUUUGUAUGUUGGAAUUGUAUGUUCAGGAUUGCAAG